rnacentral:rRNA from 1 species
UACGGGGGGAGCAAGCGUUGUUCGGAUUUACUGGGCGUAAAGGGCGCGUAGGCGGCCAGCACAAGUCAGUUGUGAAAUCUCCGAGCUUAACUCGGAAAGGUCAACUGAUACUGUGCGGCUAGAGUGCGGAAGGGGCAACUGGAAUUCUUGGUGUAGCGGUGAAAUGCGUAGAUAUCGGGAGGAAUACCGAUGGCGAAGGCAGGUCUCUGGGCUGACACUGACGCUCAUGCACGAAAGCGUGGGGAGCAAACAGG